rnacentral:rRNA from 1 species
GACGAACGCUGGUGGCGUGCUUAACACAUGCAAGUCGAGCGGUAAGGCCCUUUCGGGGGUACACGAGCGGCGAACGGGUGAGUAACACGUGGGUGACCUGCCCUCAGCUCUGGGAUAAGCCUGGGAAACCGGGUCUAAUACCGGAUAUGACUCCAUGACGCAUGUUGUGGGGUGGAAAGCCUUGUGCGGCUGAGGAUGGGCCCGCGGCCUAUCAGCUUGUUGGUGGGGUGAUGGCCUACCAAGGCGACGACGGGUAGCCGGCCUGAGAGGGCGACCGGCCACACUGGGACUGAGACACGGCCCAGACUCCUACGGGAGGCAGCAGUGGGGAAUCUUCCGCAAUGGGCGAAAGCCUGACGCAGCGACGCCGCGUGAGGGAUGACGGCCU